UACGGAGGGGGCUAGCGUUGUUCGGAAUUACUGGGCGUAAAGCGCACGUAGGCGGCUUUGUAAGUUAGAGGUGAAAGCCCCAGGGCUUAACCCUGGAAUUGCCUUUAAGACUGCAUCGCUAGAAUCGUGGAGAGGUGAGUGGAAUUCCGAGUGUAGAGGUGAAAUUCGUAGAUAUUCGGAAGAACACCGGUGGCGAAGGCGGGUCUCUGGGCCAUUACUGACGCUGAGACGCGAAAGCGUGGGGAGCGAACAGG
rnacentral:rRNA from 1 species